rnacentral:rRNA from 1 species
UACGUAGGGUGCAAGCGUUAAUCGGAAUUACUGGGCGUAAAGCGUGCGCAGGCGGUUGGGCAAGUCAGAUGUGAAAUCCCCGGGCUUAACCUGGGAAUUGCAUUUGUGACUGCACGGCUAGAGUGUGUCAGAGGGGGGUAGAAUUCCACGUGUAGCAGUGAAAUGCGUAGAUAUGUGGAGGAAUACCGAUGGCGAAGGCAGCCCCCUGGGAUAACACUGACGCUCAUGCACGAAAGCGUGGGGAGCAAACAGG